rnacentral:rRNA from 1 species
GGCCCUGCCCUGUCGGUUUUAGGUUGGGGUGACCACGGAGUAUAAUAUACCCUCCAUGAAAAAGGGAGUAAUAAUCCUUAUUAGAGAACAACACUUCUAAAAAUUAAAACAUUAAUUUAUAAUGAUCCGAUAUUCGAUCAACGAACCAAGUUACCCUGGGGAUAACAGCGCAAUCUGCCUCAAGAGCCCCUAUCGACAGGCGGGUUUACGACCUCGAUGUUGGAUCAGGGCAUCCCAGUGGUGCAGCAGCUACUAAAGGUUCGUUUGUUCAACGAUUAAAACCCU